CUUGUCAACAAUGUUGUCAAAAUCAUUAUACACCAAGUAUGAUUCCUAACUGAAAUCCAAGCGAAGCAUAGGCGUUGAUGGAUUUCACUUUUGGCAGUUAGAUCAUUCCAACACAAAAAUGAAUUGCCAGUUCAGAUUUCCCAAACACGCCUCACCUAUUUUCACCCUGAAAGCCUCAAUUUGUAGAAUGCAAGCCACCAAAUUGGACCCCCAGAUUCUCUUUAAACCCAAAAUUUCAAAUCAAUUUUACCACACAAUUGGACCACGAAGCUUGAUUUUUGCAGUAUUUCAUAGGGAAGUGAGUCUUCCAGAGCAAGAUCAGCAAGAGCAAAUGCUAGGGGGCAGAGGGUGUUUUGUAGUGUGGAUUUUUUCUGCUUGUGUUGUUGCAGCAAGAGCAGAUGUAGUUUUUUGAAGGCAGCAACUGGAUUAUUGCUAGUUUUUUUUAUGUACAGAUUAUAAUUGCAAAAAAAGAAAAUUGUUGCUUGUUUUAUUUUGAGGCCCCAUUUGUAUCCUAUUUUUCCUGCCGUGUUAGUAAUUUUUUUACCGUUACCCAACCCACCUUCUUACAUCCCAUUAGUCUUCUACUGUACCAUAGUACACAUCUAUUUUUCCUUUUUCUCAUUUUGCCCUUCCCCUCAAACGAAGAAAAAAUCUUCUACCAAUGGGGAAGACGAAACUGUAGAAUGGGUGACGACGAUUUAAAGCAUCCAGUGAAAUUGUUUGGCCCAAUUCGAUAUAAGGUCGUUGAGCACUAUAGCUGCAAAAUAUCCUCCUCCUGCAUCGGUGUCGCUGCUGCCUUCCCUUCGCAUCGUUAUCAGAACGAAUGGAACCGAUCGACAAACAGGUAUUUCGAUAGCCUAUACUUUCUUCUGGUAAAUGCUAUUUGUUGAUGUCCAAUCUUGAUGUGCAUAGAUGGGCUACAUUUCGCACGGUAACUCGUCCACUCUACCUGAACUCACACGUGCCUUAAGCUCGAAAACAUAUGCGCGGUUAAACCAAAUGGAGUGUAAAACAUUCAUUGCAGCUUGUGAAACUGCCAUUGUCAAGGGUCAUCGAAAUGGUCGGUGUUUUACGAAACACAGCUGGAAGCGUGUGAGUGAGCUAUUCAACUCUAUCUCUAGCCACAACUGGAGCAAGUAACAACUGUGCAACUACAGGGACGCAAUGCGUCAAACCUACAAACAUCUUUACGAGCUGUUGACUUGCAGUGGGGUUAAAUAAAACCUAUCCACUUGUCGAAUUGUAGCAUCGGAGGAAUGGUGUACUCGAAAGAUCAUGGUAACCUAUUUUCUUGUCGGAAUGCCUCUGUAUGGAUAAUUGUACAUUGGCGCGCCAUUCGGCACGCUACGGUCUUGUAUGUAUGCAUUUCAAUUCUGCCAUUCUGUACACAUGGUUUUGCCUGGAUGACUGCAUUUGUGUGUCCUAUUUCUUGCUCCCAAACUGUAAAUGUAUGUUGUCACUUUUGGCUAUGGAUAACUGUUGUGUAUCACUCGUUUUGGAUACAAAUGUACUAUUCAUUAAUGUGUGACGACUUGACGUGCAAACGUUGUCAUGCUUACUUACUACAUAUUUUGUGUGCAUCAUACUGCGAAUUUGCACUUUCAUUUUAGACGUAAAUUUUAAGAUGGACAAAUCUGUCUUGCUUGGGAGGUGUGGUGUUUGGUAAUGGUUACUGAGGCUGUCUUUUACCUUUCUGUUCACUUUUUCACAUGUGCCGGUGCUCAUUGCAUCGUACUAUGCUAACUGAAUUUGUUUGACUACCUUAUUCGGAUAGUACUCACAUUUUGGUUUUCGAAUAGAAGUAUUGGUAUAAUUGUUUAACCCUUGUUUGCAGGAGAACAAGGAGUACAAAUAUUUUAAGGACAAAGAUGUAAGCAAGAUUUACACUCGCUAUCGUCCACUAAUCGGUGACAGUUAUGAUGAGAGCAAGUAUACCGUCACUUUGACGAAGUUGUGUAGAAUGGGGUUCGGGUUGUUUGAGGAUAGUGCGCUCGAAGACCACCAAUGGGGAGAGCAGCGGUUCAAGUGAUGAGGGAGACGAUACAAACGAUAGAUUAAGCGUGAAUGUCUCCUACACCAUAAGCGACAAAAAAAUGAAAUCGUCCACGAGCAAGCAACAAGGAAAAAAGAAGAAAAUUUUUGUGCAUGAGCUGUAGUUCUCAAUUAAUCGGGCCACAAGUGCCAUUGAAGAAGUGGUGGCAAAGAUCAAUACCAUGAUGGCUUCGACUAACAACGUUGGUGUUGCCUACAUUAAAGAGUUAUUACCAAUUGUAUGGCUCGAGCGUCGAAAACCUUUGUACUUUUACGCCUGUAAACUUCUGGCGCAAAAAUAUUAUCGAGAUAUGCUUGGUGUCAUGAGAAAUGCUGACGAAAGAUUUGAAUGGAUUGAGUGGUAGUUCAAUGAGCAGGACAAACAAUUCCGCCUAUGAUAUUUCGAAUUUGUUGUAUUUGUGUGUUUGUUUUCAAGAAUUAUUUUCCUUUUCUUUGCACCAUUCCAUCACCAUCGAACGUUAUAUGCUUGAAUAUUUGUAAUGUGCUUAUAUUGUAAAUGUUUUUCUGUAAUGUACUUGUUUCCUUCAGACACAAAAUUUAUUGUAUCGAUGUAGGACAAUUUCUGACAUAGUGUACACCCUGAUUGUGGA
rnacentral:lncRNA from 1 species